AUUGAACGCCGGCGGCAUGCUUUACACAUGCAAGUCGAACGGUAACAGGCCGCAAGGUGCUGACGAGUGGCGAACGGGUGAGUAAUGCAUCGGAACGUGCCCAGUCGUGGGGGAUAACGCAGCGAAAGCUGUGCUAAUACCGCAUACGAUCUAUGGAUGAAAGCGGGGGACCGUAAGGCCUCGCGCGAUUGGAGCGGCCGAUGUCAGAUUAGGUAGUUGGUGGGGUAAAGGCCUACCAAGCCGACGAUCUGUAGCUGGUCUGAGAGGACGACCAGCCACACUGGGACGGAGACACGGCCCAGACUCCUACGGGAGGCAGCAGUGGGGAAUUUUGGACAAUGGGCGCAAGCCUGAUCCAGCAAUGCCGCGUGCAGGAAGAAGGCCUUCGGGUUGUAAACUGCUUUUGUACGGAACGAAACGGUCUGGGUUAAUACCCUGGCUAAUGACGGUACCGUAAGAAUAAGCACCGGCUAACUACGUGCCAGCCGCCGCCGUAAUAC
rnacentral:rRNA from 1 species